UCAUACUCCAAAGAAUAAGAUUUUUCGACUAGUGAAACUCUUAGCCGAUCUGAGUACUAGGCUUUAAAAUUGAAACCAUGAUUUUAAGCGGCUGUGUGAGAGGAAUACACGUGCCAGCAAAAAAUGAAGGAAUGUCGCUACAACUCUCUUCAGCAAAAUAUGGUAACGCAUCCGCAAAUAAAUUCUGUAUUUCAUAAUUUUUUUGCGAGUUUAGGUAAUUUCUGUACUUGGGACUUGUACUACAUGAAAUGUAUGUUGGUGCAGGACCAGUUAGCCUUUGAACGGCUCGGAACUCCGCAAAUGAUUUCAUCAAGAAGUGAUGUUUGUUUUUUUAGGGCAAUAACCUAAAUCCAGCUUAUGUCCACCUAAAGAAGAAACCAUUUUAGGACGCAUCCACCUCCCGUAAUUGGACCAAUUUGUUGUUUAUCAAAGUGAUGAAGUAAAACAGAAAUAUAUGCGAAGUCUCUUAUAAAGCUUUAAAGGGUUCUAAAUUGUAAAAAAUGUCUUGCCGACACUUUUGGUGCACAAUAGUUCCCAUUCAAUUUUUCACAAAAAAUAUAUUAAUAGAAUUAAGUAAAUCAUUUGAUAUUAAAAACAUUCCACAUGUUCAUUCGAUAAGUUCAAAGUUUA